UACGUAGGAGGCAAGCGUUGUCCGGAAUUACUGGGCGUAAAGCGCGUGUAGGUGGUGGGACAAGUCUGCUGUGAAGGCGCCUGGCUUAACCGGGCGAGGUCGGCGGAAACUGUUCGACUCGAGGACGGUAGAGGGGGGUGGAAUUCCCGGUGUAGUGGUGAAAUGCGUAGAGAUCGGGAGGAACACCUGUGGCGAAGGCGGCCCCCUGGGCCGGGCCUGACACUGAGACGCGAAGGCGUGGGGAGCGAACGGG
rnacentral:rRNA from 1 species